rnacentral:rRNA from 1 species
CAGUAGCCGCGGUAAUACGGAGGGCGCGAGCGUUACCCGGAUUUACUGGGCGUAAAGGGCGUGUAGGCGGCCGGGGGCGUCCCAUGUGAAAGGCCACGGCUCAACCGUGGAGGAGCGUGGGAUACGCUCAGGCUAGAGGGUGGGAGAGGGUGGUGGAAUUCCCGGAGUAGCGGUGAAAUGCGCAGAUACCGGGAGGAACGCCGAUGGCGAAGGCAGCCACCUGGUCCACUUCUGACGCUGAGGCGCGAAAGCGUGGGGAGCAAACCGGAUUAGAUACCCGCGUAGUCCCUGUCUCUUAUAU